rfam:Aedes aegypti strain Liverpool supercont1.375 genomic scaffold, whole genome shotgun sequence.
CAAUCGGCCCUCUUCAGGGCCAACAAGUGUGCACUAAAGAGUUAUU